rnacentral:lncRNA from 1 species
UGCCAAUGGAUACGGAUAUUCGAAAUAUUAUCCAAAUUAAUCCGAAUCCGAGCGGAGCGGAUUUACCGAUGCUAAAUGGAUAUAGUUUCGGAUAUGAAUAUCAAAGAUAAAUACCCUGCGGAUAUCGAUUCGGAUAUGAAUUUUGAUUGUACAUGAUUCGAAUCCGAACCCGAAUUUAUUUUAUAUUAUAUAUAAUAUGUAUAUAAAUAUUUGAUGUUAUAUCUGCAUUUGUAUUUUAAAAAUUUAGAUUUAAUGUAAUAUAUUUUGAAAUAUUUACAAGAGAAAUAAUUGUUUCGGGUUCAGAUUUUUGGUCGGAUUCAGGUUUGGAUAUGAAUGUUUAAAGUCCGUCGGAUUCGGGAUCGGUUCGGAUUUCGGGUUUGAAGCCGGAUUCUGAUCCGGAUUUUUAAAAAUCCACACCGAAUCAGACCCGUUGACAUUCCUAUUCGCAGGUCAAAUUAAUGAUUUGAAAACUUUGAAUG